GACGAACGCUGGCGGCGUGCUUAACACAUGCAAGUCGAACGGAAAGGCCCUGCUUUUGUGGGGUGCUCGAGUGGCGAACGGGUGAGUAACACGUGAGUAACCUGCCCUUGACUUUGGGAUAACUUCGGGAAACUGGGGCUAAUACCGGAUAGGAGCUCCUGCUGCAUGGUGGGGGUUGGAAAGUUUCGGCGGUUGGGGAUGGACUCGCGGCUUAUCAGCUUGUUGGUGGGGUAGUGGCUUACCAAGGCUUUGACGGGUAGCCGGCCUGAGAGGGUGACCGGCCACAUUGGGACUGAGAUACGGCCCAGACUCCUACGGGAGGCAGCAGUGGGGAAGAUUGCACAAUGGGCGGAAGCCUGAUGCAGCAACGCCGCGUGCGGGAUGACGGCCUUCGGGUUGUAAACCGCUUUCGCCUGUGACGAAGCGUGAGUGACGGUAAUGGGUAAAGAAGCACCGGCUAACUACGUG
rnacentral:rRNA from 1 species